GCGCGAAAACUUUACAAUGCGGGAAACCGUGAUAAGGGAAUCUCGAGUGCCAGCAUAUAAUGUUGGCUGUCCAGAUGCCUAAAAAGCAUCUGUUAGCAAGGGCCGGGCGAGACCGGUGCCAGCCGCCGCGGUAACACCGGCGGCCCGAGUGGUAACCGCUUUUAUUGGGUCUAAAGGGUCUGUAGCCGGCCAAGUAAGUCCCUUGGGAAAUCUGGCAGCUUAACUGUCAGGCUGCUAGGGGAUACUGCUAGGCUUGGGACCGGGAGAGGUGAGAGGUACCUUGGGGGUAGGGGUGAAAUCUUGUGAUCCUCGGGGGACCACCAGUGGCGAAGGCGUCUCACCAGAACGGGUCCGACGGCAAGGGACGAAAGCUAGGGGCACGAACCG
rnacentral:rRNA from 1 species